GGGUGCGAUCAUACAAGCACUAAUGCACCGGAUCCCAUCAGAACUCCGCAGUUAAGCGUGUUUGGGCGAGAGUAGUACUAGGAUGGGUGACCUCCCGCUCCGCCCUUG
rnacentral:rRNA from 1 species